UACGUAGGGUGCGAGCGUUAAUCGGAAUUACUGGGCGUAAAGCGUGCGCAGGCGGUUUCUGAAGUCCGUUGUGAAAGCCCCGGGCUUAACCUGGGAAUGGCAGUGGAAACUAGGAGACUUGAAUCUGGCAGAGGGGGGUAGAAUCCACGUGUAGCAGUGAAAUGCGUAGAGAUGUGGAGGAAUACCGAUGGCGAAGGCAGCCCCCUGGGCCAAUACUGACGCUCAUGCACGAAAGGCGUGG
rnacentral:rRNA from 1 species